ACUUAACAAACCAAAUGACUGCCCAAACAAACAUAAUUGACCUAACAUGAAAUGACACACAGGGGUAUAUAUAAUGGCUGAUCAGACCAUUGUGACACAUGAGGGGUAACAAACAAACACAAUCAUAAAUCACAAAACAAUGCAGUACAAUCUAGUUUGUUAAUAAACUAAACACUAAAGAAGAAAAUCAAAAACCAUUAAACCCUAAACUCAAAUAUUUAAUUAAAUACAAAUACUUUGUUUUAAAUUAAAGAAAACACACGUUCUCCCCUUCAGCAGGAAGUGGUGGUGUGGUCCAAUUAGCCCUCUUUGUAUUUAAUGGUUUCAAACCCUGGCUGCCAUCUUUUGUCCAGCAACUCCCAGGGAUGAUGGCAGGCAGAGGACAUAUCGGAGAGCACGCGUCACAGCUGCAAUCAUAGAGAUUUUGCUCUCCAUCCUAAGUGAUCCACUCUGACUCAGGGCUUCAGACACAAAGAGGGAAAGUUACAGUCAUUUUCAUCACCAUGUGAAGGCUUUUGUAUGGACUCUGCUAUCAGAGCUUUUAACAAGAGGACAGUCAGCACCGCGCUCUAUCACCGCUCUUUAUUGUUUCACAUCAAGUGGUGAACUCCUUCACUGAGAACUGCAGACGGAGCCUCCAGGUCCCUCAGGAGGUCAUUACGACAGGGAUGAGCAGCUCAAAAGCAGCUUAUGAUGGACAGCGCAGUGACAGCAGGGAAGGAGAGGACACAGUGUGGGGGGGAAAUAUAAAUUGGAAUGUGCCGAGUGGAAAUAGAUCGGUUUUCUGUUACAGAAGAAACUUUUGACAGUAUGGGAUCUUGCUUGCAUCAGCAAUCCUCCAGCUGAACAAAUAUGAACAGAAUAGCUCGCCGAAGCCUGUAAUUUAAAAUACUACGAGUCAUUUUUAUGAAAAGCUCAUCCUUGUUACGUGUGCAGAAAAAUACCGUUCACGUGUUCACCAAACCGCAUAGCUGCCUUGGUAUCGUGGACGGACUAGAAUUGCAUUGUAACUUACUGACCUUGCAUUUACUGGCUGACAGCAGCUAAUUCUGAUAUCUGCAGAAUUACAUUCUAGAAAUCUGCUCUUCACUCGGUCUGUGCCGUGUUUAACAGUCUUUGGAAACUAGAUUUUUCACCGGAGGACUCACGUGUCUGAUUUCUUUUAAAAACUUUGUGGAAUUUAAAAUGACUUCAGAGUAUUUGGCUGAGUCUUUUAUGGCUGACAUAAUGCUAAGCUGCUGCUUGUUAUGGAGUGUUGAAUAGUACACACAGUGUGUGAUUUCAGCCGGGUCAACCCUGUGAUUCACUGACUUCCACUGUGUGAUGUUUCUGUGUGAUGUGUCUACAGCACAGUGGAGAAACAGACAUUUUUUCUCAGUCUAGUCCAGUCACGUUAUUUGCUUUUCAUUCUCAUCAAUCUUCACCACUUCCUGUUUUACUUUCUGCUACCUUUCCUUUCAUACCUCUGUUUUCUCCCGUCGUGGGCUUCCUGCUGCUGUGAUUGUUUAACCUCCAUCUGUGUCUAAUCGUCUUCCCCUGCUGGUGUUUUUAGCCUCUCACGCUCUCCCAGUGCCACAUUGUUUCUGUACUUGCUGGUCCAGGAUUCAUUUCUUCAUGUAAUUCAUCUCCUGUGCCUGAGCUGCGCUGUUUUCCCCUUUUCUCAGUCUUUUAAUUCAGAUUGAAUAUUACAAUCGGUUGUUCCUACGUAGUGAAGUGGACCCUGGACCUUCUUAGGGGAACGUAACAGUAAACUCUCCACUCUGCAUGUUUGGCAUAUUGAUUUUGAUUACGUGUGAUAUGUAGUGGCAUCGCUUCCAAGAAUUUUGUUGCCUAAAGCUAAAAAUAAAUGAAUAAUAUAAAAAACAAUUCAAGCUUAUAUAUUGAAAGUAAUACAACACAUUACUUUCAAAAUAGUCAGUUCAAAGUGUCCGAUUGGUACUGGGUCUGCGACCUGGUGUUUCUGUGUGUUUUAGUUAUUAGAUUCUUUGAUUAUUGUUAUUCAUGGGUUUUGGUUCUA